rnacentral:lncRNA from 1 species
AAAUCACUAAGCCUCUAGAGCAAUCCUGCAAAAUUUCAGAAAGUCUCGCACUCCUGGCUGCUUGUGGCCUCCUUCCCUGCCUCCUUUCAUUUUCUUUCCUGUGUUGAUUCCUCAUUCCCAGGAACUGACCCCCACUGCCUCAUCCUGUAGUAGAUGGAGAGGCUCUGAGGCCGUGGACAGGCGUGGGCCACGCAGACAUCCACUGCAGGAGAAACCAGGUUACAAUUCUCCCACCCUGAGCCACCCAGGUGAGCUCCCAGGAGCAUCAAGCUCAGUCAUCCUCUGUGUCCGAAGAAAUAGAGGCUGAGGUGGGGCUGCACUGGGGGCAAGAGGCCCAAUCAUUGCCUUCCAGUGGCCUCCAGCCCAGUCGAGAAUCUGACUUGAACUUAACACAGACAUUUCCUUCUUGAAAGAAAAGGUCACUCUAUCGGUCUGAUUCUUUCUGUUAUUUCCAACAGGGGAAUUUCAGUGCCAGGAAUGUGACAGCAGGCUCCAAAUCGGCAAAGACUUUGAGCACCAUGUGACCUUUGCUUUCUCUCCUGUUCAAGCCACCUACGAAUGCUGGGGUGGGAGAAGGGCUGUGACCUCAAUGCAAGCCCCCUGGUGACACCAUCCCUCCAUUCCUGGAUGUGCUCAGCAACCCUGUGCAGUGCAGCUGCGUGGAGGAGGGUCAACAAGGAGCAAACAGACAGCGGAUGUCAGAGCACUUUGUGAACCACACAAGUGUGAAGUGGCUGCGGUGGCCUUGCCGGCAGCUGUGGGGAAGAAAGCAUUUGGGCCGCAGACUCCAGCAGACCCAGGUUCAAAUCCCUGCAUCUCCACAUACUGGCUGGGUGGCCUUGGACAGGUCACUUCACUCCUGGGAGUUUCCGUUCCUCUCGGCUGUGACAUGGGUGUCGGCAUGACUGUCCUUGGGAAAUGCAGCAGUCAGCGUCCAACCAGGAAGAGGCAGCGUCCAACCAGGAAGAGGUAUCUAUUCCGAGGUUAAGACAGUGGGGCUGUAAAUGGAGGAACAGCUUACCCAGGCGACACAAGGGCUGAGAUGCCAAGCAAAGGGCAGGGGGGCCCUUGGAGAUGAGCAGGGGCAGAAGGACACCAGCCUGGGGCCAGAGGAGAUGAGAGGAGCCCCAGUCACUGGAGUCCAGGGACCAGAAAGUUGUAGAGACCCCUCUCGGCCUAGCUGCUGGACCAGCUCUUCCUCAAGUGCAGGAAUACAUUAGAAGCGGCCUCCAGAUGCCACAGAUGCUUUCAAACACAUCUAUUUCAGUCCUGGGAUUACUGUUUUAAAUUUCUGAGAUGCCGGAGAAGCAAGAGCCGCCCUGACCACGUGCUGCUGCCUCCCGCCUGUCUCCCGGAACCUUCCUCCCAUGGCUGCCCCUCCAGGACGAGGGCAGUGGGGGCAGCCCCACACUGCGCAGCUCGCAGCCUGGUGCUUGGACCCCGGCCAGCCCGGAGCCAGGAUAACGAGGCAGCUCUCCUCCCAGCAUUUGAGCCAAUUAAAAAGACAAAUGACCGCAGGCUUAUCUUCCCUCCUCCUCAGCCCCUCUCUUCCUUUCCAUUCCCACCCCGACAGGGAAAUGGCCUGGGGACCUCAGGGCUUUGGGCCUCGGCUGCUCUUCUCUGGAACAGCCAGGCUGCUCCACCCUGCCUGGGCCUUUCAAGGCUGCUGAUGGAUGGGGCUUCUCCAGCCUCCUCUCAGAGCUUCUGAGUGUUCCGAGACCUCGGACUAGAAGGGAGGACAACGGGAGGGAUGGGGCGGAUUGGGAGAAAGUGAAGCAGAAAGGCCACAGGCUCAAAGACUUUUGUAAAAAAUGUCAAAAGCCUUGGAGCUUGUUUUUCAGCUCUGGCCUUGGGGCCCAGAGCUUUAGCAGAAGGCUCUGAUUCUGAGGGCCAUUUGCUUCAUGUAACCCGGUGGUUAGCGCAGCUGGAUCCCAUGUCUUGGAGGAGGGCCAGCUGCAGCUGGAGGAGCUCUGAGACCCAAAGCAAGUUCCUGGGGUCCUCCAAGCCUGCACCCGAGUUUGUCCAUGCCUGUCAUGGGAUGGUUGACAAGUGUGAAUGCCUGUGAGUACCUGGCACAGCACCAGGCACAGACAGGCAAGCUGCUAAUGUUUGUCAGUUCCCUUCCUCGUGGCAACCUCGAGACACUGAUUCCAAUUUCUCCACGGCUCACAGCUUCGCCUCCCACCAUAACUUAUUUACAGGUCUUACAGGUUUCAUCAACAGAAUGUUUAUCCUUAAAUCUAACUGAAGAAAACAAACAAACACUUCUGUUCUCAUCGCUCCCUGAUAAAAUCCUAUGCAUCUUUCAAAACCCAGUUUGAUCGUGGCCUGUCUGGUUUUAGCUUCUCCGAGGUCCUCUCAGCACCGUAUCGCUUCCAUCCUCACCCUGUGGCAUCAUGAUUGUUCCAUUAAGUUAAUGAAUAUUAACUAUUAGGUCUGAGUAACACCCUGGUAAACAGGAUGAAGGAAAUCCCCCCUCCUGCAGUAUAUAUUCAAGAUGGAGAAAAGAGGCAUUUUAAAAAUUCUAGAAAUGAAAUUAAAAGCAGCUUGUG